rnacentral:lncRNA from 1 species
GUGGAGGCCUACCCAACAAAAAAGGAAACAGCCAAUGUUGUGGUUAAGAAAAUCCUAGAAGAAAUUUUUCCACGAUUUGGAAUACCUAAGGUAAUAGGGUCUGACAAUUGACCCGCCUUUGUUGCCCAGCCCUAGAAGUGGUCAGAAACACUGCCUGGGAGCAGCUCAAGGAGGCCUACGAACCAGGAGAUUUGAUGGUACCUCACCAGUUCCAGGUGGGAGAUACAGUUCUCGUCAGACGACAUCGAGCUGGCAAUCUAGAACCUCGUUGGAAAGGCCCUUACAUCGUGCUACUGACCACCCCCACUGCUGUCAAAGUAGAAGGCAUCUCUGCUUGGAUUCACGCCUCUCACGUAAAGCGAGCUCCUGGAGAACUUCAAGAUGAAUGGGAAUUGGAAAGGACUGAUAACCCUCUUAAGUUACGCCUAUGUCGUCGGCGCCAUCCUGAAAGAGAAGAAUGACAACCCACACCAGCCUAUGACUCUCACUUGGCAAGUAUUAUCCCAAUCAGGGGAAAUACUAUUUGCCACCUCAAAAUUAGAGCCUCCGGGGGCAUGGUGGCCAACCCUGUAUUUUUGCCUCCGCCAAAUCAUUCCUGCAGCCAGGAUUAUUCCUCCUAAUGUGGUUCGAAGCUAUGGGUUCUAUAGCUGCCCCGAGCACCUUAAGAGCUCCUGGUGUGGGGGGCCUAGGUGGUACUUUUGCAGUGAAUGGAGUUGUGUUACCUCAAACGAUGGAGAUUGGAAAUGGGCCGUUGAGCCAUCUGGGGAUGGAUUAGAAUUUUCUUUUCAAAAUAAGGGGCCAGGCAAGCGUGCAGUAAUGAGGCUAUACAGAAAUCAGGACUGUAAGCCUACAGAUUUAGACCGUGUGAAACUGCAGUUCACAAACAUGGGAAAGAAAUAUGCUCUUGCCCAGUGGAUUGGAGGCAUGACCUGGGGAGUUGUGUUCUACAAUUAUGGUAGUAGACCUGGUUCAUUGCUCCAUGUCCGUCUAAACAUUGAAAGUCCUCCAGCCCUGCCAGUAGGCCCUAAUAAGGUGCUCCCUGAGCCAAAUCGACCUUUUCUCCCAAGACCAGCCCCGACCUUACCCCACACUCAAAAGACUCACCAAAUGUCUUCCCCACAGAAAAACGUUUCGAGUCCUGUUCUGUACUCUAUAGCCCCAGAGCAAGUUGAACUAUCACCCACCCGACAAAGGCUGCUAGGCCUCCUCCAAGGAGCUUUCUCUGUGUUAAAUGGUACCAAUCCCAAUGCCACCAAGUCUUGCUGGCUGUGUCUAACAUCUGGACCUCCCUAUUACGAGGGGAUGGCAGUAAUAGGAACUUAUAAUAAUACCACCAGUCAUGAUCACUGCAGGUGGGGACGUAGCCACACACUCACCCUCACUGAAGUAUCUGGCAGAGGCACAUGCAUAGGAAAAGUGCCUCUGAGUCAUCGACACUUGUGUAAUGUUACCUAUGAGAGCCCCCGGACCAAAUUGACUUAUUAUUUGUCACCUGGUCCCAAUAAGUGGUGGGCUUGCAGCACUGGAUUGACCCCCUGUAUAUCGACGUCAGUGUUUAAUGACAUUAGAGACUAUUGCAUCCUGGUGCAGUUAGUGCCCAGAGUCAUCUACCAUCCCUCAGAAACUUUUGUUGAUGAGUUUGAUAGACGGCUGACUCGCCUUCGCAGGGAGCCUGUGACUAUGACUUUGGCCGUGCUUUUAGGGGUAGGAGGAAUAGCAGCAGGAAUCGGAACUGGAGCUGUGGCCCUAGACAGCGUGCCCCGCUAUUAUAAUCAGUUAAGACAAGCAAUGGACACUGAUAUUGCGGCCCUAGAACAGUCUAUUACUAAGUUAAAAGAAUCUUUAACAUCCCUGUCAGAGGUAGUUCUUCAGAAUCGCAGGGGGUUAGACCUGCUUUUCCUUAAAGAAGGAGGGUUGUGUGCUGCCUUAAAAGGAGAAUGUUGCUUUUAUGUAGACCAUUCUGGAGUCAUAGAAGACUCCAUGAGCAAGUUAAGAGACAGACUAGAAAAGAGAAAACGAGACCGAGAAGCACAGACUGGAUGGUUUGAAGGACUUUUUAAUAAAUCCCCUUGGUUGACCACCCUCAUUUCUACCUUGAUGGGCCCUCUAAUAAUUUUGCUUUUAUUGCUGACAUGUGGCCCACUAAUCCUUAAUAAACUAAUGACCUUUGUUAGAGAGAGGAUUAGUGCUGUUCAGUUGUUAGUAUUAAGACAACAAUAUCAGUCUUCAUAGACCCUUGAAGAGGUUGCAGUCUAGUUCUAAGAUUAGAACUAGUAACUAGAAGAAGUGGGGAAUGAAAGAUUCUGGCAGAAUGUAAAAGGUCAUAGAAGCCCUGAAAUUGGUAAAAUAGAUUUUAUUGUUAGUAGAACUGGCUUCAUUGAUUUAGAAAAAUAGAGGUGCACAAUGCUUUGGCCACUCCUCGAACCUGUGUGCCUGCCAAUGUUCUGACCAGGUGUGUGCCCAUUGCUGUACCUUCAUUAGAUUUUUUCCUUGUUUCCCUCCCAUACCCAUUUCUUGAGGAAUCAAUCAUUUUAGAAUAGAUAUUGUUUAGAUCUGGAAAUCCCCUAAUCUCCCCCUUCUCCUUUCCCCCCGAGGGCCUAUAAAAACUGGAAACU